rnacentral:piRNA from 1 species
UCUAAGUCCAUAUUGGUUCUGGGGAAGC